rnacentral:misc_RNA from 1 species
AAAAGUCGUAACAAGGUUUCCGUAGGUGAACCUGCGGAAGGAUCAUUAUAAAAUUUUUUCUACAUAUUUUUAAAAUAUGUAAAAAACUUUUGUAUUCAAAACCCACACUCUUUAAAACCAUAUAUAUAAAAAAAAUUUAUGUUCAUAUACAUAAUUUUUUUUUAUAAUAUAUUAUUUAUAUAAAAAUAAAUAAUAAAAUGACAACUUUCAACAACGGAUCUCUUGGCUCUC